rnacentral:rRNA from 1 species
UACAGAGGGUGCAAGCGUUUAAUCGGAAUUACUGGGCGUAAAGCGUGCGUAGACGGUUAUUUAAGUCGGGUGUGAAAGCCCCGGGCUCAACCUGGGAAUUGCAUUCGAGACUGAAUAGCUAGGGUACGGUAGAGGGAAGCGGAAUUUCCGGUGUAGCGGUGAAAUGCGUAGAUAUCGGAAGGAACAUCAGUGGCGAAAGCGGCUUCCUGGACCAGUACCGACGUCAGGCACGAAAGCGUGGGGAGCAAACAGG